UAAUGUGAGCAGGGAGCCGGAAAUGUAGGGCCUGGCAACAGCAGGUCCAGAAGGGGCUUGGGGCGAAGGGGACGAGGCUGUCAGGGGCGGCACCUGAUCUAGAGCCGCCGUGCCAGAAAUAGCUGCGUGUGGGGCCUAGAAACACCGGGGUCUGGAAUGUUUGGUGCCGGAAGAGGCGGGGAGGCUAGAGGAGAGGGUCUAGAGCAGCGGGAGGUCGAAAGGGGCGGAAGCCGGAAGUGCGGGGCCUGGCAAGACCCGGGCCUGAGGGGGUUUGGGGCCAGCGCAAGCGUCAGUAAAAGUUUUAGACUUUGUGAGCUGUACAACUUAGGUCGCAGCUACUCAGCUUUGUCCUCGUAGCUCGAAAGCAGUCCUAGGCAGUAUACACGUGAUGAGCAUGGCUGGGCAAACUGUUCCAGCAGGGUCUCAGCCUCGGCACGUUGCAGGAUUGGGCCUUUCUGUGGUCUGCAAGUGCCAUCUCCGCAAAUUCAUGUUGAAAUCCUAAUCCCCAGGGUGGUAGGAGGUGCAGCCUUUGGGAAGUGGCCUUGAGGGUAGAGCCCUCACGAAUAGGAUCAGUGCCCUUAUCAAAUACCAUAAGUGCUCCUUCACCCACUUGUGCCAGGUGAGGACAUAGCAAAAAGACAGCCGUCCAUGGAUCAGGAAGUGGACCUCUACCAUCACCCAAUCAGCUAGCACCUUGGUUUUAGACACCCCAGCUUCCAAACCCAUGAGAAAUAUACUUCUGUUGUUCUUAAGCGACCAGUCUGUGGAAUUCUAUUGCAGCACCCUGAACAGACUAAGAGGCGUGUGGAUGUGAGCCACUGUCGGGCCUCUGUGAUCACGGUACUAUCAAGACUGUUGCUACUCUAGGUAGGGCCAUAGCUUUUUCAUGGAAAGAUCUGAGAGUGUGACACUCGUGUGCAGAUUGGAACCAAGGAAAGCAGGUGUCCGCAGGCGCGGAAUAACUGCGUACAGGGUGCAAGACUGAGGAACUGAAGCGAAUCGGAACAUGCUGGGCCAAGAGAAGGCGGAAUUCGGAAAGAAGCAGAGUCGGUUUGUUCCUGCUCUAGAUGCUGUAAUAUCUUCUUUUUCUCCUGCUGAGGAUGGAUAAGCAUCGGCCCUGAGCUUCACCCUGCUCCUCUGGAGACAACUGAGGACAAAUCCUCUUUUAGGACAGGCUGGGCAGUCCCCAGGUCCAAUCACUAGGGAGCCCAAGUGUCAGGAUCCGUGAAGCGCUGUUCCCACCUCACCACGAGAACACAUGUGCUCUAGGCGGGGCAGUAGGCCCUGGGGUCGGGGAAGUGGUUCCUUGUGGGGUGCCUCUGGAACUCCCCAGGCUUCUGCAGGGGAAGAACCCACCUCCCCAACCUUGCCGCACAUCUAACUUCUCCACCACCACAAGCUGGCAGCAUAUCUCUGUUCAGACUGUGCCAGGCCUGUAGCAGAUGCCGAAGACCAUGUGUGCCUUGUCGUUAAGGAAGUCACACCUGGUGCCUUGAUUCUGAAGCCCUUUCCUCUGCUCAGUUCUGGCCAUAUCCUUCCUCACACCCCUCAGGCUCUGCUCUCGCUGGCUGGACCAUGUAGGGAGGACGUGGACCCCAGAACCUGAACCUGACCUUCUCCACUGCGGACUUGUACGUGUGGUGCAAGGAGUGCCCCCCACCCCAGUCCCCACUGCCCCCAACGGGAGAAGGGGAGAAGCACUGCCUCCCUGGUGGUGAGGGGGGAGGUUGCCCCUGGGUAGCCUUCUCUCACACUGGGCCUGCCUGCAGCAUGGCGGUUGAGGUCUGUGCAAGGCUUUCUCCCUUCCACACUCAAAUUCUAUCCAUAGUGAAGGCGGAUUUAAUAUUUAUCUUUAAAAAGAUUUUUGUAGCCCUGGCUGAUGUAGCUCAGUGGAUUGAGCGCAGGCCUGCAAACCAAACAAUCAUGGUUUGAUUCCCAGUCAGGGCCCAUGCCUGGGUUACAGCCCAGUUCCCAGCAGGGGACGCAUGAAAAGCAACCACACAUUGAUAUUUCUCUCCUUCUCUCCUUCCCUUCCCCUCUAAAGAUAAAUAAGUAAAAUCUUAAAACAAACCAAAAAAAAAACCCUCUUUAAAAAGAUUUUUUAAAUCUUUACUUGAGGGUAUGUUUUCAUUCCAUCUGGAGACAGAGGAAGGGAGAGACAGAAACAGCGAUGCAAAGAGAAGCAUCGGUUGGUUGCCUCCCUUACAUGCCUGGACCAGGGAGCAAAAUUGCCCUGAGUGGGAAUCGAACUUGCAACUUUUCAGUUAUGGGAUGAUGCUCCAACCAAUGGAGUCCCAGUAGUCAGGGCAGUAUCUAUGUUUUUCGGACACUUUCCUGAAUCUUCAAGGGCCCUUCUCUUAGCACUGCUGUGGUGACACUAGAACUUUCCUCCCAGCUGAAGUGUUGGCGGGUGGCUCAGCCUCGAUACAUGGCACUCACCAGCGACAGGCCAUGCUCCAGGGGCUCUUCCUCAUUGUCCUGGAGGAAGAAGCUCAGGGAGAGGAAGGACACAGCCACAAAGGUGCAUUUCCAUAGGCAGCGGUGCAUGGUGCCAGGCUCGGCUGUGCGGCAGGAAGGGAGCGGGACCUGGACCCUGAGAGCCUCCAGCUCGGGAAGCCAGGAAGCUUGUCCUGUGGCCCAGAGGCCUCCCCUCCCCUCCCUACCCUUUCUCCUGGACACCUCUGGCACUGCCCUUUCUUAGCCUCUCCCACCCGUGGCGCGCCUCCCCCUCCCUCCCCACUUGUAACCAUCUAAGGAGAGACAAGGCUGUGGAGCUUGGUUCUCUUCAGCUUCUGCCUUCACCUCCUGGCAGGGUUUCCAGGGGAAACUGGAGCAGCUUCUUACUUGUCCGUUCUUGGAGUAGAUGCCCCACUGGAGAGGAACCCUUCCCUAAACUCAAACUCGAGGUACAGCCUCCACUGGCCUGCCAGCUCCUCAUGGGCUUUUUGUCUGAUCUCCCCGCCCCCCAGCAUUAUGUCGGACAGGUGAGAGAGAGGUUAGAAUCCAGGCAGAGGGACCAAGGGAAAGGCUUGUUUCUCCCCCACCCUGGCCUGGUAGCAGUGGCGGACACCUAGAGGUGACCAGGAAUUUCUAUGCUGUGGCAGUCUUUACCCUGUCUGUGGAUCUGCAGCCACUGGAGACUUUUUGUUUGACAGAAAAAGUGGCUUCAUAAGUCAUCAGAGAGCAGGAUUUCUCUGAAAUCGAUGAGAAGAACUUUAAGGUUGUAGGGCGGGGCCCAGAGGGGCUCAUCUGAGGUGGAGUCAUCUCCUGGGAGACCCUGCCUGACAACCAUUGUUCACCCCGAAUGGGGCUGCCCAGCACCUGUCUCACACAAGCACCUGUCUCUGGGUGCAGUGGGAAUAGGCGUGAACGCCAGCUUUCCAGUCUGACCUCCAACCCAGAAGCCGACAGUUAACUGUUGGUUUAAAUCAAGUUGCUAAGGGUCGAUACUGAGUGAUCCCUUCCCUUAUUAGAAGGGAACCAUCCACAUUUAUAGGAUAUCCAAUUAUAGGGUAAAUAAGUAUCAUUAUUCAGUUCACAAGAAUUUUUA